rnacentral:rRNA from 1 species
UGAGGAAUAUUGGUCAAUGGGCGGGAGCCUGAACCAGCCAAGCCGCGUGAGGGAGGAAGGCCCUAUGGGUCGUAAACCUCUUUUGUCAGGGAACAAAAGCGAGUAUGUAUACUAGUCUGAGUGUACCUGAAGAAAAACGCAUCGGCUAACUCCGUGCCAGCAGCCGCGGUAAUACGGAGGAUGCGAGUGUUAUCCGGAUUUAUUGGGUUUAAAGGGUGCGUAGGCGGCGGUGCAAGUCAGCGGUAAAAGCCCGGGGCUCAACCCCGGCGAGCCGUUGAAACUGCAGUGCUAGAGAAGGCGAGAGGUACGCGGAAUGCGCAGUGUAGCGGUGAAAUGCUUAGAUAUUGCGCAGAACGCCGAUUGCGAAGGCAGCGUACUGGCGCCUGACUGACGCUGAGGCACGAAAGCGUGGGGAUCGAACAGGAUUAGAUACCC